rnacentral:rRNA from 1 species
AGCAUAUCAAUAAGCGGAGGAAAAGAAACCAACAGGGAUUGCCUCAGUAACGGCGAGUGAAGCGGCAAUAGCUCAAAUUUGAAAUCUGGCCCUUUCAGGGUCCGAGUUGUAAUUUGUAGAGGGUGCUUUGGCGUCGGUUGUGGUCUAAGUUCCUUGGAACAGGACGUCACAGAGGGUGAGAAUCCCGUACGUGGCCGCCAGCCUUCGCCGUGUAAAGCCCCUUCGACGAGUCGAGUUGUUUGGGAAUGCAGCUCUAAAUGGGAGAUAAAUUUCUUCUAAAGCUAAAUACUGGCCAGAGACCGAUAGCGCACAAGUAGAGUGAUCGAAAGAUGAAAAGCACUUUGGAAAGAGAGUCAAAAAGCACGUGAAAUUGUUGAAAGGGAAGCGCUUGCAGCCAGACGUGCCCGCAGUUGCUCACCCAGGCUCUCGCCUGGGGCACUCUUCUGCGGGCAGGCCAGCAUCAGUUCGGGCGGUUGGAUAAAGGUCACUUUCACGUAACUGGCCCUCGGGCCUGUCCUUAUAGAGGUGACGCAACACGGCCAGCCCGGACUGAGGACCGCGCAUCAGCUAGGAUGCUGGCGUAAUGGCUGUAAGCGGCCCGUCUUGAAACACGGACCAAGGAGUCUAACAUCUAUGCGAGUGUUUGGGUGUCAAGCCCGGACGCGCAAUGAAAGUGAACGGAGGUGGGAACCCUUUGGGCGCACCAUCGACCGAUCCUGAAGUCUUCGGAUGGAUUUGAGUAAGAGCAUAGCUGUUGGGACCCGAAAGAUGGUGAACUAUACUUGGAUAGGGUGAAGCCAGGGGAAACCCUGGUGGAGGCUCGCAGCGGUUCUGACGUGCAAAUCGAUCGUCAAAUCUGGGUAUA